AUCCAUUCAUCCAUUGAUGGACAUUUGGGCUCCAUACCUUGGCUAUUGUCAAUAAUGCCACUGUAAAUAUUGGGGUGCAUGUGCCCCUUCGAAACAGCAUACGUGUAUCCCUUGGAUAUAUACCUAACAGUGCAAUUGCUGGGUCGUAGGGUAGUUCUAUUUUUAAUUUUUUGAGGAACCUCCAUACUGUUUUCCAGAGUGGCCGCACCAGUUUGCAUUUCCACUAGCAGUGCAAAAGAGAUCCUCUUUCUUCGCAUCCUCGCCAACAUCUGUCGUUGCCUGAGUUGUUAACGUUAGCCCUUCUGACAGGGGUGAGGUGGUAUCUCACUGUGGCUGUGAUUUGUCUUUCCCUGAUGAUGAGUGCUGUUGAGCAUUUUUUCAUGUGUCGGUUGGCCAUCUGGAUGUCUUCUUUGGAGAAGUGUCUAUUCACGUCUGUUGCCCAUUUCUUCACUGGAUGAUCUGGUUUUCGGGUGUUGAGUUUGAUGAGUUCUUUAUAGAUUUUGGAUACUAACCCUUUAUCCGAUAUGUCAUUUGCAAGUAUCUUCUCCCAUUCCGUCGGUUGCCUUUUCGUUUUGUUGAUUGUUUCCUUCACUGUUCAGAAGCUUUUUAUCUUGAUGAGGUCCCAGUAGUUGAUUUUCAGGUGUUCUUUACGAGAAUCAAAUCAUUCCUGGAUGGAAUCUCAGUUUGGGACCUGGAAACGUCAGGCAUGAAAAUCUGAGCCUGGAGAGUUUCUUGCAGCAGUAGGGGCCCAUCCAGAUCUCACUCCCUGUAACUUCCCCUCGACUUCAAGUCCGGGCCUGGAAAGAACAGAAUCCAUUUCUGGCCUUUCAUAGACUUUUCCACCGGACCCAGGAGGUGAGUCCUGGUGUUGGGUUAUUCCGAGACCAUGUCCCUUUACAGGCACGUGGCAUUUGCUUUUAAUCUUCCCUGGGACUUUCUAUAAUCGUAUCUGACAAGUACUUUUAUCCCAGAUGGACCGAGAUGCUUGGUUCAGCUUGAAGGUUCAUCAGGCAGACCUGAUGUCUGCCCAGUCCUCAGCCUGAAGGAAAACUCUGGGCUGCAGCAUGGGUGGCUGGCUAGGAUAGAGUCAUGGGUCCUGUGGAGAGCGUCUGAGACCACAAGACCUGAGCCCUCUCGACUGUCUGGCUAUCCAUGAUCUCAGCCCUUCACUGGUCUGUGCAUCUCCCAUUGGGAUAAACUCAUCCCUCCCCAUUUGGCCACGAUCUCAAUGAGGUAUUCCAAGAUUGAGCCACGUCAGCUUCGAGUUUCCCGAAGGUGAAGACUCCGAAGGGCUUUGUGCAAAGGUCUUGAUCUUGGGGUUUGCACACAGGUGGAGGAUGUUAGAGCCUGGGUCCUCUGUAGGUGGAGGCCGGUGCUGGGUGCUAUGAUCCUCUCUCGCCAGGGGGCGCCACACUCCUCCUCUAUCUGUAUCCCUGUCUUGCUUCCAGAUUUCAAAGGCUUGGGAAAGGGGGUGGCGUACCUUCCAGACUCUCGGUCACUCCACUUUGUAAACUGCUUACGGGCCUCAAAGUUUCCUAGUGAAUAGGCUGACGAUUUUCUGAGAGAAAACACAGCUGACCUACCUGACAAGGGCUCUUUGAUAAGAUAACAACAGCGGACUGCAAACCCCCUUUCCUUCUUGGUUUCCAUUCUGGUUUCUGUUCCAUUCGACGACUCCAAAGUACUUUCCCCCUUCUCCAAGUAUGGCAUCAAACCCUUCUGGAGUCUUUAGUGGAGAAGAGGACCCGAGACAGUGGACUUGGCAAAAAAGGAGGCUCUCUCUCAGAAGAGUCUAAACACACCCUCGUUAGUCCUGGGUGCAGCCAGUAUGCCAAGAAACCACAUCGAGACUUCUUCCUCAGUGGCUCUUGGUUGUUACAAGGAGACCACGCUGGAAGGUCUCGGCCACACGGGAGGUUGGGCCCCGCUUCUCUACCACGUGUACCUGGAGACGUCGGUCUGAGGGGACACAUUCUCCAUUGUCACAGUUCUCAUUGUCCACGGGACUGCAGGAGGGGAAGCUGCUCAGGAGAUUUGGGGGGGCCCAGUCAGGGGUCCCGAGAGGGUGAGAGGUGAAGCCACCCCCUCGGAGAGGGGUUCACACCCACCCCCGGGAGCCGGGCCUGAGAGCAGGCAAUGGUCGUAGCCCGUGGGUACGUAUUGUUUCCUAAAUUCCCCGAGGCGGCUCGUCUUGCCCCUUCUCUUCCACCAUGGAUGUUUGCACCAGUGACAGGUUCCUGGCCGCACCAGACUCCACAUGGUUUUCCCACCUAGCCCCGCACCCACAUUCUCCCUGGAGCCUGGGACCUCGGGGUGGACGCCCCCGGACGCUCCACCAACUAGAUAUUUUAUUUUUUAUAUAUUUCUUUAAAGUUUAUUUUUACUUAUUUUGAGAGAGAGAUAGAGAGCGAGUGGGGGAGGGGAGGAGAGAGAGGGAGACAGAAUCCCAGGCACGUGCUGUCAGCGCAGAGUCUGACUUGGGCCUCGAACCCAUGAACUGUGAACUCAUGACCCAAGCCUUGGGGUUUUUUUUGUUUUUUUGUUUUUGUUUUUUUUCCUCAUUUCACUGCUUGCUCAUGGACCUGGGACCUCUCUCACCCACCUGCCUUCCUCCUCCUUGGGACCUGGGUCGGCCUCUGGUGGGAUUGAUGUUGCUUUCCCACACUUGCAUGGUGGCCUUCUGGAUGUCUCUGCACCCUCGUCUUAACGCACCUCCCUCGGUGCCGCCAACUGGUGUCGGCGCCCUUUGAGUGGUGGCGGGUGGGGGUGCUCCUGGGAGUGGCUGGGCCCAGCGGCAUCCAACUCUCUCAUUUCCCGGCUCCUUCCACCAACCCCUGACCACGCCGAACAGAUAUGGGACAGAAGUACUCAAGUGAGGCGGGGAGGGAGUCUGGAUUACAUGGAAAAUCCUUGCCGCUUUCCAAGAAGAAAUCAAGAGUUUGUAUCAAACACCUGAGGGUCAGGACAGGGCUUUUCAGCAAGUUCCCAAUCUCUGUAGAAAGUCAAGGUCCGCGGAAAAUUCGACACCCACGCGAGCCAGCGGACUGAGAUGGCUGCCGGUGGAAAUGAGCUCUGCUGGGGACAGCCCAUGCCUGCCAGCCCUAAGCCUCCUCCACUGCCCUGGCCUGGGCACUGCCGGGCUCUUUGCGUUCCCGGCCCAGAAAACAAUCCCGACCUGGGUCGGGGGCCCUCUUGGCUUCCCCCUCAAAACGUACAAAGCCCACAUUUUCUCCUUCUCUCUCUUUGCACCUUUCUCAUUGUGUCAUUGUGUUCCCCGAUCCCUGAUCACCUCCGGGGCUUAGCCAGUAAGCCUCUCCGUCAUGUCCAGCUCCAACCCAAGAGGCUUAACUUUUCCUAUCUAAGGUCAUCUGGAAGACCUGUCCUGUCUGCUCCCAGCCCACAUAGACCUGUUCUGUCUCCAUCUUUCUGCAUAUGUAUAGUGGGGCCGGCCCUGGAGCCAGAGACUAAAUACCAAAUUGCCUUGCUCUGCGUGAAGUCUUCUCCUGUUAAAGAGCAAAUUAUUCAAAGACACUUGUUCGAGACGGUAAGACAGACUUUAAUCCAGGGGUGGGGGGCAUGGCAAUAGGCGCAAGGACCCCUGUGGUGGAGAUUGGACUCCAUUCUGAAUACAGCAGGGGCAAGUAGGAGAUUAGAGCCAAGGAGUAGGGUGGGGACAGAGGAUGGUAAAUCACUAAGAGGAAACAUCAGGGGUGAAGGGGGUCCUCGCUAAACCCACCCAAUGGGGUUCUUGCUGAAGGCAGGCCAGGGUGGUCAGACGUCACCUGGGGGGCAGUGGGGGUGAGGAGCCCCAUCAGGCAUCGAGGGUGGGGGUUCUUGGUGAUCUGACUCAGCAGGAGUCAUGUGGGAACGAGGAAGGGCACCGCUUGGGGUGGGAGACGUUUCAAGAGCCGGGAAAAGUUUGUUCCAGCAAAGAAUCUUGGUCUCCAACAUUUGUCCCAAGGAUAAGCGGUGAGGGAUAGAAAUGAUACCACGCAGGGCCCCGCCAUGCCGUGGUUUCGGGAAGAUGAGUUUCUCACCUCCUGGAGCGCGCAUCCUCGUCAGGGAGCAAAAAGUCUUUGUUUAGGAAAAUAACCCGCUAAGGGGUGAAAGGGAUGCCCCGCAUGCCGCCUGGAGACAGGGAUGCCACCGCGCGAAUCUGCUCCUUCAACAGACAUUUAUGGAACACCGGCUGCAUGCUGGGGGUGCUGCUGCAGGACGCUGAGGACGCAGGAGGAACCUGCGCACAGAUCCAUGGUUUCUGUCGCUCCCCAGGUGAUGACAGCUCCCUUCCCUAAAAGCUUUGCCGGCUCCUCCUGCCUGAAGGUGAUGUCUGAACAACUCCAGACGAUGGGUGAUGACCCUUCACAGCCCAGACCCAGCUCACCUGUUCGGCCCCUCCUCUGAAAUCCCUCAGGAAGUCCCACUACCCUGAGAUCACGUCUGAUUCCUGGAUGUUCCUGGAAUGCAUCAGGCGGGCUGCAAAGCCUCCACACCCCGAAUUCCAUUCCCACAGCCUCCACACCUUCUCCCCUGCACCUUUCCUGCCGAUCCUUCCAAGCCAGGCUAGGGGACACUGGCCUCGUGGCUGUCCCUGACUAUGCCUAUUCUCCCCACCCAGCCCCCCUCGCUCCCCCCAACCCAGCAGCCACCAUCAUGCUGGCCUCCGGGCUCCAGUGGUGCUCCCGGCUGGCAGGGACGGACCGGAUCCUCGUGAGUUGCUUCCACGGUCUCUCCUCCUCCUGAACUGUACCAGGGAGAAGACCCGUGUCUUGUUUGUCUCAGUGCCCACCCAGCACCGGCACUCAACGAGCCUCUACCGAGUUGAGCUGUCUGGGCAGCGAGGGCGAGAAAUCCUUUUACCUAAGGAUCUAAAGAACUUUCCCCAGUGUUGGGAAGACAGGAAUAUCAACUAUGGCUGCAGCCUCCUCUCCGGUGAAUUUUCAUUCAACUCCCAGUAUAAAUAGCUCCCUUUCCCCCUAUCAGAAAACAUCUGCUCCCACUGAGCUGCCCAGGCCUGUACCAGCACUAUAAAUAUCCUGGCCGUGUCUAGCCUGCCCUGGCACAGGGGCCAGGAGAACUUGGAAAGAGUUGAACACCAAGCGAGGUGAGGGCAGCCGGAGUGAAGAAGCAGAAUUGCCCCAUCUCCCCCUCUUGCGCCCCCAGCCACAGGCCGACAACGCUUCCCGCGUGGGCUUGGAACCCCCCACGGUAGUCCUGGGAAUUUGGCAGAGGCAGUCAGCUACCCCUGCUCUCCUGGGUUUCGACACAGCGUGUGAUGCAAGGACCCCGCUCACGUCUCAGAGGCUGAGAUGCGGCUUGAAACUCAAUUUGAGCCAGCUCUCCCCAUUCCGGCGGGGAUCUUGCAGGAUGGGAGGUGAUAGGGCCUUGAGAGCAUUGCCUUUCAUGCACAUUUAUGCGGAAUCGUGUGAUGCUGUGCUCCUCGAAGCUACUCCUUAAACUCAAUAAACCGAAGGGCUGAAGUCCACAUGGUGGCGUGGUCUAGAAUCUGCACACAUUUCCGAGGUGGAAAAAGGGAGGCUAGUGUUGGGGAGAAGGGACCUGGGAAACAGCCUCCAUCUAAAAACACCAGCCGCAGGGGCGCCUGGGUGGCUCAGUCGGUUGAACGUCCGACCUCGGCUCAGGUCAUGAUCUCACGAUCUGUGGGUUCGAGCCCCGCGUCGGCCUCUGUGCUGACAGCUCGGAGCCUGGAGCCCGCUUUCGGAUUCUGUGUCUCCCUCUCUCUCUGUCCCUCCCCUGCUUGCACCCUGUCUCUCUG